CGGCCGGUUACCGGGACGAGAAUCGUGGCGCGUCCGUCGGUUUUCGGGUGAAAUUGAAAAAUCACCGUACGUAAUGAUAAUUAAUAGUAAUGAUAACAACGCGGCAAUGCGUACGGGGGUGGGCGGGAGGAAGAGGCAGGCGCGGUGCGUGUAAUCGGUUGCGGUGUGUUAAUCAGCAGCGAGCGUUUUCGCGUUGAAACGUUU